UGAUGUAAGUGUCAAAAGUCCAAAUGCGAUUGUGCUUGCACAAAUGAGCAUUUCAGACUUAUUGACAUGCCAAACACUGAAAACGUAAUAAAAUGCUGUGAAUAUGGCAUUUUAUGGGAGUUUGAGGUGCUUGAGAAUUGCAGAAAUUGCAAAGCAAUGUAGCGAUUCGGACACAUCA
rnacentral:sRNA from 1 species